rnacentral:tRNA from 1 species
GGGUGUGUAGCUCAGUGGUAAAGUGUACGCUUAGUAUGCUUGAGGCCCUGGGUUGAAUUUCCAGUGCCCCCA